rnacentral:rRNA from 1 species
UUCGCUCAGGAACGACGCUGGCGGCGUGCCUAAUACAUGCAAGUAGAACGCUGAAGAGAGGAGCUUGCUCUUCUUGGAUGAGUUGCGAACGGGUGAGUAACGCGUAGGUAACCUGCCUUGUAGCGGGGGAUAACUAUUGGAAACGAUAGCUAAUACCGCAUAACAAUGGAUGACACAUGUCAUUUAUUUGAAAGGGGCAAUUGCUCCACUACAAGAUGGACCUGCGUUGUAUUAGCUAGUAGGUGAGGUAAUGGCUCACCUAGGCGACGAUACAUAGCCGACCUGAGAGGGUGAUCGGCCACACUGGGACUGAGACACGGCCCAGACUCCUACGGGAGGCAGCAGUAGGGAAUCUUCGGCAAUGGGGGCAACCCUGACCGAGCAACGCCGCGUGAGUGAAGAAGGUUUUCGGAUCGUAAAGCUCUGUUGUAAGUCAAGAACGGGUGUGAGAGUGGAAAGUUCACACUGUGACGGUAGCUUACCAGAAAGGGACGGCUAACUACGUGCCAGCAGCCGCGGUAAUACGUAGGUCCCGAGCGUUGUCCGGAUUUAUUGGGCGUAAAGCGAGCGCAGGCGGUUUGAUAAGUCUGAAGUUAAAGGCUGUGGCUCAACCAUAGUUCGCUUUGGAAACUUCAAACUGAGUCAA